rnacentral:rRNA from 1 species
UAAUACGGAGGAUGCAAGCGUUAUCCGGAUUCAUUGGGUUUAAAGGGUUCGCAGGCGGCGUAUUAAGUCAGUGGUGAAAUCCCUCGGCUCAACCGAGGAACUGCCAUUGAUACUGGUAUGCUAGAGUAUAGUUGGCGUAGGCGGAAUAUUUCAUGUAGCGGUGAAAUGCUUAGAUAUGAAAUAGAACACCGAUCGCGAAGGCAGCUUACGAAGCUAUAACUGACGCUCAGGAACGAAAGCGUGGGGAGCGAACAGGAUUAGAUACCCUGGUAGUCCACGCUGUAAACGAUGAUUACUCGUUGUCGGCGAUACACUGUCGGCGGCUAAGCGAAAGUGAUAAGUAAUCCACCUGGGGAGUACGAUCGCAAGGUUG